AUGUCUACCCCAAGUCUAGUGCUGCUGCUGCUGUCCCCGGCCUUGGCUGUAGGCGUGCCCGGUGCAAUCCUUCUGUGGUCAAAGACGAGUGGCCCCGCCAGAAAUUUCGUUGUUGCCCCGCCGAGCGCAUUCGUGGCAUUUCACGUGUGUGGUCGUGCGUGGCGUGGUGUGGAUCAUACCUGGCCAAACGGGCCGGCCCGACACGGCACGACCCGGCCCAUCGUAAUCGUGCCUGGCCCGGCACGGCUCAUGGUUUACGUCUUAACUGUCUACAACAAAAGGGAUAAGCAGCACUGCAUCCAGAUCCAUGUGCACCGUGAAAUUCCAGAUGGUAUCAGUGUGCCCACAGAACUCCAGAGUGUUGAUGAUUACCCAGACAACCAGUUCACAUUCAGUGUCAAGCACUUGGCUCCAAUAUCACUGACAUGCCUUAUGCCUCCAUCAUACCUGAGCCAUCAUCCUCCAUACUUCUUUCUCAGUGUACAGUGGUUGGAUACUGUGAAGGUCUCAACCCUUUGUCACAUGCUUGAAUUGAUUUGGGCACAUCAGUCUGCACAGGAAGUUGUUUUUGAGUGGGUGCAGGGCUUUACGCUCUCUCAUCUUGGUUUUGAUGGCGGGAUAAUCAUACGCAUGUCUGAUAGUACGAUGGCUCCUGUGGAUGCUCGGGUUGUUGGAGAGAUUCUGUCUGUAGAGGAUGUUGUUCAACGGUUGAUCAACUACGAUGAAGAGCAAUGCCUUGAAACAUUUAUUCGGGGCCUCCAUGUCUGCGCAAUUUGUUUCAGUGAGCACCCAGAUAAUUCAGAUGCUCCAUUUGAUUCUUGGAUACUCUCCCUGCUGCUCAUUUCACAACUACAUCUUCAUUGUAACUUAAAUUUGUUGUUUUGA
rnacentral:rRNA from 1 species